UUUAUUGCGAGAACCGCGAGAACCAAUGUGAACGAGUGGCAAAUUUGUAAAUAACCAAAAAAAUUAUAAAAUUCCCGCGGAACUGAAAACUGAAAUUAACUACGUUACAUAAUACGAUCUGGUGUCCGAUAACUGCUAUAUCCAAACAAAAAAUCUCCCAAACACAAAAUCUCCCCAAUACGAUCUGGGGUUCAUUAUCGAUUCUUAUCGAUUCUUAGCGACGAUCACAAAUUCGGCGCGUUCAACAUCAUCGUUCGACAUACGAUCAUCAUGAUCAUCGUCGAUAUCGCCGGCCGGCACAUCAACCGUGACAUCAACCGUCUACUCGAAAUUAGGGCAAAACGGCCACAUUUGAAUCGAAAUCAAGGAAAAUCGAUAAAUCGAAAAUUACAUGGUUGGGUAUUUGAAGAAUGUUAAACAUCUAAGCGCGACACGCAUGACAGCCGCGCAGUUGACGAAGAAAAAAUUGGGAUGGGCGACGAGCGAUAAUUUCAACGAUUGUGGCGUAUUUGCUAUGAGGCACAUGGAGAUGUACAAAGGGAGUGAUGUCGAGUUUGAAUGCGGUUUUAGUACGCAAAAAAAUAUUCAAGACAUGCAAUUGCAAAACCUGAGGAUGAAGAUUGCAACAAAACUGUUACUAUCAGAGGCGAACGUGUACAAGACAACGGUUAUGUACCUCGCAAGAAAAGCAAUACAAAAUUUGGGAGAUGAAAGAAUGAGGAAAUUGUUGAAAGAAGAGAGAGCAAAACAAGAAAAAUGCUGGAACACUCUUAGCAAAUGGAAGAAUGGGGAUAAAGUUUGAGGGUAGAAGUUCAUGACACGUAGGUAGUAUUUCUAGUUAAUUAGUGAUAUUUGAACAUUAAACUGAUAUGUUGGAUUGUUUUGUUUGGUUAGGCAUGUUAGAUGGUUGUGUUAGGAAGGUAACAAGUUGGUACAGUUAUGAUGCAUGUUACAGUUUUGGUUAGUUGGUUUUGGUUAGUUGUGGUUGGAAUUAGAUAAUGGUGUUACUAAUAUUUGUUGAUUGAUAUAUUGAGAAGUUGGAAUAUUAGCAAAUUGGUAAUGUGUAUUGUACAAAUUGUUAUGUUGGAUGGGUGAUAUGGUGAUCAAUGUUUGGAUUUAUAGUUCA